AUCUUUCCGCUUUCUACCCGAGUUUACGGCUUGUCUGUUAUCAUUGGGAUACGAGAGUGCUAAGUGAAGGCUCUAUAAUGGCGUCAGAGGACACCGAUGACCAGUUCGCGGAGGCCUGCAGUUCCUCGGGACUCCUCUGUAUUCAUUGUAACGAGGACGAGGUGAAGUGGGCGUGUAACGACUGCUCCCGGGAAUUCUGUGACAGGUGUAAACGUAUUCACCUGAUAGCUGACGAGGAGACCCGGGACCACCAUUUAUACAGGUACGGAAGUAAGCGUGUGUCCGGCUCGAAUGUUCCAGACGUUAUCCACCAUCGGAGCUCUCCGUCAAUGAAGCCCGUCCACCCAGGGUCAAAUUUAAACCGUUGUCGAGAGUCGUGUUUCGGAAUUUUAAGCCGAAGACGUCACUAGUCGAAAAUAGCACCGUGCAACACAUCAGAAUAGUACCGAGGGGAAAUGGCGACGCAUGGCUGAAAUGCGGGGCCAUCUCAGAGGAGCUUGUAUCACAUGCUGCCGAAGGAAAUUACCUUCAGAGAAUACGCGCGGACAGUGUUAUUCAAGAUUUUGUUGUGACCUUAAAAAGAGAAAUUAUUUUCUCAAAAAUACACAGUAAAGCUUUAUGGAUACACACAAACAAAGGUCAAAUCAAACCAAUGUUACAGUUGGAAUUCUUUCCUAACUGUUUGCAUCUGACGGCGGGGAAUGAUCUUCUGAUAUGCGCCCUGUCGACCCAGCAAUGUCGGGGUAGCCCUCUAAGUAAACUCUCCCGAUCAUCACAAAAAUCGGUCAUCCAAGUGGAUCAGGGCCUUAAUCUAGGCGACGUUUAUGACAUGUCUCAAUCUGCUAACGAUACAAUCUGUCUCGUGGAGAAAGGGGGUUGGGGCCCGGGGAGAGUUGUCGGACUUGAUCAAGAUGGCGGACGGGUGUUUGAAUACAGAGGCCCAUCGGGUUCCCUGAAUCCGUCAGGAAUAGCAUGUGACGGCUUCGGAUUUAUUUAUGUUAGUGACUGCGGCUGUCAUAACGUACACGUGAUCACUCAGACCGGAAAAUUUCAUUCCUUUUUACUUCCGCUGGAUUCAGUUCUGCUUCCGGAAGCCAUUGAUGUUGGAGAAGAUGGCGAUCUUUGGUUAGGGAAUGGAAAUGGUGAAAUCAAGGUUUAUAAACUGGAGACGGAGGCUAGUUGAGAGGAAAAGAGAAUAUGAAAUCAAAAUUAUGAUUUGAAAUGUGUUGACUGAGUGAUGACGAGAUGUGCACGCACUCACCACCCAUCCGAUGAUGGAUCUACCAAUUGAUGAUGCAUGCACUGUAUGGGAAUCUUAAAAACUGACCGUUUGACUUUUUUGCUGCGGUGAAGAAAAAUGAUAAUACAAAAUGUGUUCAACCGGUGUUUAAAAUUAAAAAUAUUGUAAUGAG
rnacentral:misc_RNA from 1 species